AUUGAACGCUGGCGGCAGGCCUAACACAUGCAAGUCGAGCGAGUGGCGGACGGGUGAGUAAUGUCUGGGGAACUGCCCGAUAGAGGGGGAUAACUACUGGAAAUGGUGGCUAAUACCGCAUACUAUCGGAUGUACCCAUAUGGGAUUAGCUAGUAGGUGGGGUAAAGGCUCACCUAGGCGACGAUCCCUAGCUGGUCUGAGAGGAUGAUCAGCCACACGGGAACUGAGACACGGCCCAGACUCCUACGGGAGGCAGCAGUGGGGAAUAUUGCACAAUGGGCGCAAGCCUGAUGCAGCCAUGCCGCGUGUAUGAAGAAGGCCUUAGGGUUGUAAAGUACUUUCAGCGGGGAGGCGUUACCCGCAGAAGAAGCACCGGCUAACUCCGUGCCAGCAGCCGCGGUAAUUC
rnacentral:rRNA from 1 species